UACAGAGGGUGCGAGCGUUAAUCGGAUUUACUGGGCGUAAAGGGCGCGUAGGCGGUGAGAUGAGUGUGGUGUGAAAACCCUGGGCUUAACCUAGGAAGUGCAUCGCAAACGAUCUGACUGGAGUAUAUGAGAGGGUGGCGGAAUUUCCGGUGUAGCGGUGAAAUGCGUAGAGAUCGGAAGGAACGUCAAUGGCGAAGGCAGCCACCUGGCAUAAUACUGACGCUGAAGCGCGAAAGCGUGGGGAGCGAACAGG
rnacentral:rRNA from 1 species